rnacentral:rRNA from 2 species
AGGUUAAGUUAACAAGGGCGCAUGGUGAAUGCCUUGGCACUAGGAGCCGAUGAAGGACGGGACUAACACCGAUAUGCUUCGGGGAGCUGUACGUAAGCUAUGAUCCGGAGAUUUCCGAAUGGGGCAACCCAGCAGUUUUAAUCAACUGUUACCACUAGAUGAAUUCAUAGUCUAGUUGGAGGUAAACGCUGUGAACUGAAACAUCUCAUUAGCAGCAGGAAUAUAAAGAAAUUUCGAUUCCCUAAGUAGCGGCGAGCGAACGGGGAACAGCCCAAACCAAAGUGCUUGCACUUUGGGGUUGUAGGACUGAACAUUUGAGUUACCAAAGAACUUGAUAGUCGAAGGAUUUGGGAAAAUCCGCCAUAGAUGGUGAUAGCCCAGUAGAUUAAAUCAAAUCUCUCUCAGUUCAGGAUCCUGAGUACGGCGGAACACGUGAAAUUCCGUCGGAAUCCGGGAGGACCAUCUCCCAAGGCUAAAUACUACCUAGUGACCGAUAGUGAACCAGUACCGUGAGGGAAAGGUGAAAAGCACCCCGGGAGGGGAGUGAAAUAGUUCCUGAAACCAUGUGCCUACAAUAAGUCAGAGCGCGUUAAUGCGUGAUGGCGUGCCUUUUGUAGAAUGAACCGGCGAGUUAUGAUCCCGUGCAAGGUUAAGACUAAAAAGUCGGAGCCGUAGCGAAAGCGAGUCUGAAAUGGGCGUUUUGAGUACGAGGUUAUAGACCCGAAACCAGGUGACCUAUCCAUGUCCAGGUUGAAGGUGCGGUAAAACGCACUGGAGGACCGAACCCGUGUAAGUUGAAAAUUGCUGGGAUGAGGUGUGGAUAGCGGUGAAAUUCCAAACGAACUUGGAGAUAGCUGGUUCUCUCCGAAAUAGCUUUAGGGCUAGCCUCGGAAUUAGGAUCAUGGAGGUAGAGCACUAUUUGGACUAGGGGCCCGUCUUGGGUUACUGAAUUCAGAUAAACUCCGAAUGCCAUUGAUUCAUAUCCGGGAGUCAGACGAUGAGUGAUAAGAUCCACCGUCGAAAGGGGAAAGCCCAGACCAUCAGUUAAGGUCCCUAAAUGUAUGCUAAGUGGAAAAGGAUGUGGAGUUGCAUAGACAACUAGGAUGUUGGCUCAGAAGCAGCCACCAUUUAAAGAGUGCGUAAUAGCUCACUAGUCGAGUGAUCCUGCGCCGAAAAUGUACCGGGGCUAAGCAUACUACCGAAACCAUGGAUGCGACCAUUAGGUCGCGUGAUAGGAGAGCGUUCUAAGGGCGGUGAAGCAAGAUCGUGAGGACUUGUGGAGCGCUUAGAAGUGAGAAUGCCGGUAUGAGUAGCGAAAGAUAGGUGAGAAUCCUAUCCACCGAAUGACUAAGGUUUCCUGGGGAAGGCUCGUCCUCCCAGGGUUAGUCGGGACCUAAGUCGAGGCCGAGAGGCGUAGACGAUGGAUAACAGGUUGAGAUUCCUGUACUAGUUAAGUGCGUUUGAGCAAUGGAGGGACGCAGGAGGCUAAGAUGUGCAUUCUGUUGGAUUAGAAUGUCCAAGCAGUAAGUCUUGUGAAGAGUCAAAUGCUUUUCACUUUAAGGACAAGCUGUGAUGGGGAGCGAAAUUUAGUAGCGAAGCGUCUGGAUGUCACACUGCCGAGAAAAGCUUCUAGUGAGUACUUAACUACCCGUACCGCAAACCGACACAGGUAGUCGAGGAGAGAAUCCUAAGGUGAGCGAGUGAACUCUCGUUAAGGAACUCGGCAAAAUGACCCCGUAACUUCGGGAGAAGGGGUGCUGAUCGCAAGAUCAGCCGCAGUGAAUAGGCCCAGGCGACUGUUUAUCAAAAACACAGGUCUCUGCAAAAUCGUAAGAUGACGUAUAGGGGCUGACGCCUGCCCGGUGCUGGAAGGUUAAAAGGAUGGGUUAGCUUCGGCGAAGCUCAGAAUUGAAGCCCCAGUAAACGGCGGCCGUAACUAUAACGGUCCUAAGGUAGCGAAAUUCCUUGUCGGGUAAGUUCCGACCCGCACGAAAGGCGUAACGAUCUGGGCACUGUCUCAACGAGAGACUCGGUGAAAUUAUAUUGUCCGUGAAGAUGCGGACUACCCGCGACAGGACGGAAAGACCCCAUGGAGCUUUACUGUAGCUUGAUAUUGAGUGUUUGUACAGCUUGUACAGGAUAGGUAGGAGCCAUAGAAACCGGAACGCUAGUUUCGGUGGAGGCGUUGGUGGGAUACUACCCUCGCUGUAUGACCACUCUAACCCGCACCACUAAUCGUGGUGGGAGACAGUGUCAGGUGGGCAGUUUGACUGGGGCGGUCGCCUCCUAAAAAGUAACGGAGGCGCCCAAAGGUUCCCUCAGAAUGGUUGGAAAUCAUUCGCAGAGUGUAAAGGCACAAGGGAGCUUGACUGCGAGACAGACAGGUCGAGCAGGGACGAAAGUCGGGCUUAGUGAUCCGGUGGUACCGUAUGGAAGGGCCAUCGCUCAACGGAUAAAAGCUACCCUGGGGAUAACAGGCUUAUCUCCCCCAAGAGUCCACAUCGACGGGGAGGUUUGGCACCUCGAUGUCGCUCAUCGCAUCCUGGGGCUGUAGUCGGUCCCAAGGGUUGGGCUGUUCGCCCAUUAAAGCGGUACGCGAGCUGGGUUCAGAACGUCGUGAGACAGUUCGGUCCCUAUCCGUCGCGGGCGUAGGAAAUUUGAGAGGACCUGUCCUUAGUACGAGAGGACCGGGAUGGACAUACCUCUGGUGUACCAGUUGUGCCGCCAGGCGCAUCGCUGGGUAGCUACGUAUGGAUGUGAUAAACGCUGAAAGCAUCUAAGUGUGAAACACACCUCGAGAUGAGAUUUCCCAUUCCUUUAUGGAAGUAAGACCCCUGAAAGAUGAUCAGGUAGAUAGGUUAGAAGUGGCAGUGCGGUGACGCAUGAAGCGGACUAAUACUAAUCGGUCGAGGACUUAACCAAG